GAUGAACGCUGGCGGCGUGCCUAAUACAUGCAAGUCGAGCGAAUGGAUUAAGAGCUUGCUCUUAUGAAGUUAGCGGCGGACGGGUGAGUAACACGUGGGUAACCUGCCCAUAAGACUGGGAUAACUCCGGGAAACCGGGGCUAAUACCGGAUAACAUUUUGAAUCGCAUGGUUCGAAAUUGAAAGGCGGCUUCGGCUGUCACUUAUGGAUGGACUCGCGUCGCAUUAGCUAGUUGGUGAGGUAACGGCUCACCAAGGCAACGAUGCGUAGCCGACCUGCGAGGGUGAUCGGCCACACUGGGACUGAGACACGGCCCAGACUCCUACGGGAGGCAGCAGUAGGGAAUCUUCCGCAAUGGACGAAAGUCUGACGGAGCAACGCCGCGUGAGUGAUGAAGGCUUUCGGGUCGUAAAACUCUGUUGUUAGGGAAGAACAAGUGCUAGUUGAAUAAGCUGGCACCUUGACGGUACCUAACCAGAAAGCCACGGCUAACUACGUGCCAGCCGCCGCGGUAA
rnacentral:rRNA from 1 species